CUUAGUUGUAAGAAUAGAUAUCCUUUCCCACGUUAUCAUUUUAGGUAAGAGCUAACAGCUUCCAUUGAUGCUUGAAGCAGUGAUCUUUGGAGAUUUUUUAAAAAUAGCAACAUAAUGCAAAUUAGGUUAUGUAAGCUUUAUAGCACAGCUAGAAAUAGGGAUUAGAAACCAUGUGGGACUCUGGGCCAGAGUAUAUUUCUCUCCCUCCAGCAAAUUCCUGUGGGGCCUGGGAAUUAGAUUCUGAGUUAAUACACAGAGCGCUUUGAAUAGUACCUGGUACAGAGUACGUGCUCAGUAAAUGCUGACCGUUCUUACCAUGGUUGGCUGAGGUGACAAAAUACAUGCGGGAGGCUGGGCUGUGCUGGCAGGUAGUGGAGACGCAGGUGCAUGGCCUGCUCGGGGGGGGGGGCGGGGCGGGCGGGAGGCAAGCGGCAUGGGUUCUUUAGUGUAGACAGGUUUGGGAUACUCCAGGCUUUGGGAGAGGACUCCUAGCAUCUUCAGGUCAGACAGGAGAUACAAAGCAAACACUGGGUGAGACCUGGUGUGGGAGGCUGCUGCAGAUUCGUGCUGGAUGAAGAUGUUCAUGUUUCUGUGUGGUAGUUAAUCAUCGGGCAGUCUGUUGCCAGGGGUUCAUAAUACUUGCUUUGCGAUUUAGGCGUGCUUGGAACUUCAAAGGGGCUGAGCUUAUCAACCUGCUGUUUCUAAGUUUCCUGCCAGUGCAUUAGUAAGAAAAGAGUGUGUGUUUGAUUACAGCUAGCCCCAGAAUCUGACAUUCAGAGCUCACCAUUUAUUUGGCAGGUAGAAAGCAAGUUACUGUAAACCACAGAAAAGAAAGAGACCAGGUGGCAUGCUUAGGAGGCUGUUGACUAGGAUGCUUCUCUCUUCCAGUUUGCUGCAACACUUUGGUUAAAAAAAAUCUGGGGCUUCCCUGGUGGCGCAGUGGUUGAGAGUCCGCCUGCCGAUGCAGGGGACACGGGUUCGUGCCCCGGUCCAGGAAGAUCCCACAGGCCGCGGAGCGGCUGGGCCCGUGAGCCAUGGUCGCUGAGCCUGUGCGUCCGGAGCCUGUACUCCGCAAUGGGAGAGGCCACAACAGUGAGAGGCCCGCGUACCGCAAAAAAAAAAAAAAAAAAAAAAAAAAAUCUGUACUUAACACCACUCGAGGCCUCCCUCUUGCCUGUUAAUCUUAGAAAAAAACAUACCUGUCUAUCCAUCCCUCUCUCUCUGUCCAUCUACCCAUUUAUCUAUCUGGACACAGUUGGGAAGUUGCUUUUCAGCAGAAAGAAAAAUGAGUAGAUGGUUGGUCUGAAUAAAGGGUGAGCAUCUUCCUGUCCGUCUCUGGCUCGCACGUGUCUACAUGGACCUCCAGAACCUCUGGAGAAAAGUGUGCAGCCGCAUUCCUCUCUGCUGGUAGACGUGAGCUGAAUGGGGAAUAGAGAUCGAGUUCUGUGAUGCUCUAAGGUUAUAAAAACUGUGUAGACAGGACUGAGUGUUACUUUUAAAGGCAAAUAAGGUAGAUUUGCAUUAUAGUCAAGAGGCUUUUCUUCAAUCCAGGAGAUAUUUGUGUCAGCGAUGUCCUGGCAGAAGUGACCCCAUUCCUCAGCUGUAGCCAUCUGGGUGGAAUCCUUGCCUCAGUAACGAACACUGAGGGAAGGCCUCGGGUGUUCGUUUGUUUUGCUUUGAUCAGUCAGUUGUUAACACCCUAAUUACUUGGUCCUUCUAAGGAGGGUCUUAGGGUCUUUCUUGGCAGAACUUUGCUAUUUCUGCAAACAAACUAUGCUGUCUCUGCCGGUGGGUAGUGUGGAGAUUGCCACCAUCUGCCCAGGCAGUUUGAGUCAGAUUAGCAUAUCCUAGCUGGAGAUGUGGUCCUGAGUCAUCUUUUUGCUGUUUUUGGCCCCCAGGAGGUAAGGGGAUUAGCCUGCUGCAGUGAGGGCAUUCUCUUUGCGCUGCCUAGGAGCCUUGUCUCUCUGCUUUGUUUCGGUUUCUCCUACCUUGAUCCUUCUGUGUGGUUUGGAAGAACAGUCUCUGCAUUCACAUGUCAGCUGAAUGUCCCAGGUAGUGUAGUUAACAGUGGCCCUCAGUUUAGGUCAUUUUGGGCUGUGGGCAGCAGUGGAUGGAAGAAAGGAGAGCGGGAAGAAAGUUGCUAAAAUUGGCACCUUGUGUGUGCCAGGCACUUGGACAUUUUUCUUAUUUCUCAGCCUUCUUGAAGGUGGUAUUAUUCUUAUUUUACAGAUGAAAAAACUGAGGCUCAGAGUUAAGUGCUAGAGUCAAGAAUGAAAUCCAGCUCUGUUCAGUGCCAGAGCCUUUUUCUGCUGUACCAUGCUAUGGAUUAAAAGUCUGGAAAGAAGGUGAAGAAGCACAUCGGGGGACAGGAAGGUGGUGUGUGGGCAGUGAGGCAAGGCCGAAUGGAGCCUAAAAAGGGCCUGAACACAAGCCAGGGGCCUCACUGUCACAGGAUCUUUGGAGCUCACCGACUCAAACCAAUCCCAGGCUCCUGUGCUAGAAUCUCGGCUUUGACUUGAGGUCAUUUUAGACCAGAUAUCCUGGCCUAAAAUAGGGCUGUUUUCUUUUAGAGCAGUUGGAAAAGAUUAACAAACUGGAAAGAGACUGGGGGGCUGAGGUGUGGCUGUAUAAACAGAGGAAGCUUUUGUAUUUGAAGCUUGUUUUUCUGUUUGAAUAUCAAUGAGAAAUUGAGGUGUGCGUUUUCAUUUAGCUAAUGCUUUCUGAGUACAGGCUAUCUGGCCUGAGAUUGGUGAUGGGGGGAUGUCUUAAAAGAUUUGAGCCAGACUCUGAAGGAGAGCUGGUGAGGCUGGGCUCAUUGGGUCAAAGGAAGAGGGGUGGUCCAGGGUUGGGGUGUGAGUGCAGAGAGGGGGCCCUGGGCAAGUGUUGAGCAGAGAUGGGGGUGAGGGGCAGAUUGCAGUGGCCUGUUCUGCUUGCCAGGAGUGUCCCCUGGACUCGGCUUCACGGAAGGCUGUGGUCCCCUCACCAGCUCCUCUGCAGAUUAGUGCUGGCUGGGUCUCUGCUUAGGGUUAGGUGGGCGUGGAGGUGGAUGCAGAAUCCUCUUCAGGGAAAGAUAGAUAUUCUUCCCUAACCCCAAGUCAUCACCAGCCUUGGCAGUUGCCGUUUUUGAGCCACCUGCCAUAAUCCUGGAGCGGAACAGGAAGAAGGGAACCUCUUGUAAACCCUGGUUGUAGUUCUUGAGCCGCGGCUUGUGGAGGGAAUGGCACCUCGUGUGUAGCGCGCCAGCAGAGCUCUCUCCGGGCCAUGACUGUGCCCCCUGCCCUGAUGGUCCCACUCAGAGAAGCCGCAGCGCAGGGGUGGUUGUUCCCACUGCACAGACAAGAAAAUUGAAGCCAAGAGGCCUCUGCAAACCACCAGGUUAUUUGUUGGUAAAACACUGUGGCUCUUGAUAAGUGAGUUUUUAAUCACACAGAAGAAAUGGCAUUUCUCCUGCUUUUAGAGUUAACAGAAGCCCUUUCUUAGGGAUGAGAUUUGAGCUCCACCACAACUGUGGGAUCUAGAAAUUUUCUCCUUUUACAGAUGAGGAAAUAGAGGCUUAGACAAGAUGACUUGCCCAAAAUUACACAGCUAGUUAGUGGCCAAGCCCACCCAUUCUGCUGGCGCUGUGCUCACCACUGGUGGUUGGUGUUGACAGUCUAGGCUGCUGCCUAUCCUGUUUUCUAAAACCGUUUGGCAAGUUUCCUCUCCUCUUUACGAGGCAUUCGUUCUACUUACCUUUCUUCCAGACUUCUGGGAUGUGUCCUGUGUGGUUUGAGACAAAACACGCAGAAAGCCACCUCUCUCUCCCUGACCCCCCUCUUCUUCCCCUCCCCCCGUGGGAAAAAAGAAACCAGACUUCGGGCUCAUUCUUCUCUGGCUAACCUGGCUCCUGGGCAAGGUUACUGACUGGCCAGCCUUGGGCCAGGUGGCCUGUUUGUUGUUUUCUUUGCCAGCUGCACAGUUGGGUCUGUUUCCACAGACCAUCUUUUUGUGCUGUAACUGAACCCUGUAAUAAAAGUGCAAACCAGUAACUGCCAUCGGAGAGAUCCCCAGGCAUUGUAUGGAAGGAAGGGAUGUGCUGUUGGGAGUGUGCUUUUCCACCGAGCUUCAUCCAUGUUUUGGUUGUCAGCUGUCAUGUUUCUGGCUAGGCCUUCCUCGUGUGCUCCAACCAAAGGGGUCACCCUCACAGUCGCCUUCCCAGAGCGCUGGUGCCAGGGUCUCACUGGGCCCUUCCAUGCUGUAGACGGUCUCAGAAGAUGCUCAGCUCUCUGACAUCCUUCAGGCCCUUGGAGGCUGCAUUAUGGGAGGUAUGGCAGCCAUCAUCCUGGAGGGGAUCACUCCUUCCACAUCAUCUGGAAGGUGGCACCUGAGGAAUUCAGGAAAGCUGAAAGCACCUCAAGAUGGGAUAGGUUGAGGCUGCUGAAGGACAGACCUGGAGAGAUCAUGGACCUUUCCAUCAGCUGAUUUAAAGGGUUGUAUUUACUUGUCGUAUGUGGUUCCAGAAGGGGAAAGAUAGUUAUGGUAAAGCCAGUUGGGCAGUUUGAGCUAAAGUAAGUGUGCCUCUCAUGAGGUGUGGUGAGAAGUGGGCCCCAUGUUACCAGGAGUGCUUAGGCAGGUAGCCAGCUGUUUGGAUACCACAGAGGAAGGUCUUCCAUGGGGUGUCAGUUUGCACAGAAUGCUGAUGUGGUUGGUGACACUGUCAAGACCGCUUCUCCCCUCCUGGGCACAUGGAUUUAUUGGCAACAUUCACUGUCACCUCCUACUACUAACCAGGCUGUGCUGGGGGAGAAGGAGCACUUGAGGAAAGCGUCAGGAUUUUCAGCCUAGAAGGUGAAACCCCUGACCAAGAAGGAGCCCAGGAAGGGGGAGGGGACUGCUCGGGGCCUUGAACAGAACGAGAGCCAUCUUCUGUGCUUGGGAGGAGGGCUCCCACUCAGUCCAGGAGCGGAGCCAGGCCUCUGAAGAGACUUAAGAGCUGCGUGACUUAGAGAGUGAGAGGGGCUCCAGUAGAUGUGGCCAUGGCUUCCGCAGAGCCUGGCAUCCAGCUGGCUGGGAGGUCUCAAGGAGGGGCGCCUGGUGUGCGCAGAAGGGCAUGGCUUCUCAGGACAGCGUGGAGGUGAUUGUUAAUGGGAACCUGGGAACUGGGAUGGUUAGGACGGUGAAGUAGCAGAUGGCAUGUGUAGUUUGGGGCCACUCCGUGAAAGGCCUUGGGUGCCGUGCCCUGCAGUGCUUACCAUCUUCCAGAACGGUGAGAGAAUUCUGGAGGAUCAGUUUGGACAGCUGGAUGGGGAAGGACCAAAGGAAGGAGUCAGAGGCUGUUGCAGAUGCCUGGCUGAAGGACGAAGGAGGCUGGCUGAGGGCGUCGGAGGCAGGAAUGGCAUCUCUUCAUAGUCCAGGCUCCUUGCCUGGGCCCAGCAGGAGGUUAUGGGGCCAGGGAACCACAGGAACCCCACGUGCAGCCGGGGAACUGGGGGCCGCUGUUCAGUAGGUGCCUGGGACCAAGACAGGAAAGGGGGGUGGUGGCGGGGAGAGGCGUUGCAGUGUAGCAAGGCCCAUCUCCACUGGCCGGGAAGCGGGGACUCGGUGGGCCCGACAUUCUCAUGGGUGCAGGGGCUCCGAGCCCCCUUCUUGUGCUCUCUGGGAAGCGUCCCCUUUGGCAAAGGACAGAGAGGUUUAUGGGCCGGUCAGUCAGCAUCUUAGCCUUUCCCUGCGUUUCUGCUCUGCUGAGUUUGCCAGUCAAAGGGAGUGGCAGGUACUGGAUGUUCGUUGGUACAGAGGCUUCUGCUUUUAAAAAAAAAAGUAAUGUUUUGGCUUCUUUACCUGGGCAAGGGUUGGAGUUCAUUGGAUUCAACGUUUGUAGAGCAGGGUCUUCAGCUGGGGGAAGGUACACACUUGCUCCACAGAGCACUAUAGGGAAGGGGAAAGGCGAAAUUGUAAGAUUGCUAGAGAAUUUGCUUUGGGCCUCAGUUUUGUGUCUGUCCUGCCACCUCUGGCUCGUUCUGCACAGGUGGGCAGGGAGACCCGAGGAGGAGUCGGGGUGGGUUUCUGCACUUCUGUGUUUCUAUACCUCUGUUGGGGACGGGGGCUAAAAAGGCAGUGGUGGUUUUGAGCCUUUAGGUCAGAGCUCUGAAAGGUUAGGGUUUACUGAGACACUGAUUGCAUCAGCCUUUGGGGUGACCAGGUGUCUCUAACUACCAGUGGCCUUGUUUGUUUAGCCCAGUGGGCCACAGAAAAAUCACCUUUUUGUGUGUCACAGUGUGGAAAUCGAUGGGAACGCUGCCUUAGGCCUGGUGUCGAAAAACUUUCUGGAAAGGUCCAGGGAGUAAUUCUUUCAGGCUUGUGGCCCAUUCGCUCUGUCACAGCUACUCAGCUCUGCCGUUCCAGCAGCACCCGCGCAGCCAGAGGCAGAGUGUAGACAUACAGCCGUGGCUGCAGGCCACACUUCGCCAAUCCCUGCCUUGGACUGUGGCGGUUACUCCCCCUCUGGCUUAAUCAUGACUGGAACCUUCCUCCCGUCUGCUGCCUGGACCCAUCUAUCUUCCCACGAAGGCUUCCUGCGCAUCUGUUAGGUGUGCAGCUCUUGCCCAGAAGGACCUCAGAUUUUGAGUGAGAGGUGGGACCUUUCGGGGGAGCGGGUGCUGCAGAGCGAAAUACAGAACGGGGCUCAGGGAGAGAAGGCGGAGGGUGAACCCGGAGAGCCUGAGGAGGGAGGGAGGGAGGCAGCUCCGGAGAGGAGGACGGCUGGGGCCCAGCCUGUGAAUAAAGGGCGCUGGGGAGCCAGUGGGAGGUUGUGCUCAGGAAGGUGAAGUGGUCACAGAUGCACUUUAGAAAGAGCCUCUGGUUGGGGAAGACCACGUUUGUGGUUACAAGUAAUAUCUUUCAGUUUAGUCUGGACUCUUUCGCCCAGAGUCUGGUUACUGUUGGUACCCGAGUGGGAAGGAGAGACCCCCGAGUUGGGUAGCUUUCCUGGCCGCUGGCUGUAGGGGGCCAGUGAGUGGCACAGUUUUUGACACGGCAGGCCUUGACAUGGUCUGCCGCCUUCGGGCUUCUUCUCUCUCACUAUCCAGAGAUAGCUUAAACGGCAAGACAAACGAAACGCUGUCUCAUGUCUAAUUUUGGAUUGGGGCCUUGGUGUAUGAGGGUGAAAAAUGCUAGGGAUGGGCUUCCCCUCGCUUCAGAAUGGAGUUAACCUGGCGCAAAAGCCUUAUGGAGCUGGUGCCUGUAAACCGAGGCAAGGUGCACAGUCCGGAGCAGGUGCUGCUCAGGUGCAUCCCAGACGCUCUAGGCCAGGACUGAUGUCGGGCUGGGGGAGACUGCAGAUCGGACACGGCGCCUGCCCCGAGGUGCUCCACACGUAGUUGGGGCAAGGAAAAAAACUCUAUAUAGUGCUUUCUACUCUCCACAGUAUUUUCCCUCAGAGAUGUUUCUAGGCAGGUGAAGGGAACCGCUGUUGACUGAGCACCGUGAGGUGAGGUUCCAGGGGCGCGAGCUGCCAGCGUUCUCCCUUGACGUGGACAGAAGUCUGCAGGGGUGCUGGCUUCACGAGCCCACGAAGAGGCCUGCGCAGAUGCCGUUUCCUUGAAACCCGCACGGGCCCGUAGGAGUGGGUGAGGAUCACGCGCGGCGCAGAGGAGGGAAGGCACUUGCCCGAGGCCCCGCGGUGGGGGGGUGGCGGUGCUGGCCCCAGGGGGGCCCUCCCCGCACGGCUCCGGCAGCGCUGCACCGUGGACCGGUUUCGUGUGGCUGUGGAUCCUCUGGGGACCGAGCCAGCAGGUGAGGGCUUUGGUGCUGCCCUGAGCCGUUAGGCAGAUGUGGGCAGGGCCUCAGGCAGGUGGGUGUUGGGCUGCCUGAGGGCACUGCUGCUGCCUGCUCUGAGGGCACGGCUUGUCAUCGCCGAGGUCCGGUGAGGGAUGUGGAAGGAAGAGUCGCGGAGAAGCCACAGCUCCGGGGCACGCGGGCUGCUGCCGUGGGGCUCCUCAGGCCCCGGGGGGCGGUGCUCUCAGCAUGGCAGCGGGUGCGUAACUUCUCAUCUCUAAGGAGUACGGCCUGGGUCUUCCAGAGGUGUUUCUGGGGUCCUGGAACGGCAAAGACAGAGGCAAGCCUGGCCCAGCCGGAUGUGCCUCCAGCUGUGGUCUUUCAUCGGGCAGCUCGGCCUGCGCUGCGGCUCUGGCCUCACAGGGAGGCUUGUGUCUGGGGCACCCUAGACCCUCGUGGAGCUCGAGCCCGGCCCCUGCCCCAUCCUGGCCCACGACCAUAAGCUACAUGCCAUCUGUCUCAUUUUCCUGCUUGGGGAAACAGAUGAUGGUCUGAAAGUUCUCUUUUUGAUUCUAACCUAAAUAUUUCUGCUGUUCUGGGAAGACUUUUUAAAAUUUUUGUUCAUGAAGAUGAACCACGGAUAAGGAUAGGAAUUUAGACAGAUAGCCAAGAAGACUGUCUUCUCCACUUGUAGUUCCUAAUCAAGAAAGCUGCACCUUCGGUGCCCAGCCUCUUCCCCCGCUCCCUUCCGGCCAGCGUGAGCUCCUCCCCUCACAGACACCCUCGGGCUUAAGUUGCGGUUAAGCUGAAGCUCCUUUCCUUUCCUUGACGUGUCCGUGUUGCUCUGUGAGCCUCCUCGGCUCUCCCCUCACCGGCUCCCUCGGCUGCGGCCCUGACGCCCAGGUCGUGAUGAUGGCCCACACGAGGCAUGGUGUGGAGUUUAGUCAGGUUCCUGAAAUACCUCUUCUCUCACCUGCCAGGCCGGCAGUGCUGGUGUUUGAUGCAUCCCUUUCCCUGACCACGCGGUGUCUCCUGCUCAGGCCAGUCCUGUGCGGUCAGGUGGGGUUCACACUGCACCCCUACUUUGCAGAGGGGACACUGAGCGCCGCCUGUCCCCUCGUUCACUCACUUACUGUGGUGGCUUCUCAGACAACAGGCAUCCUCAAGGCUCCUGACCAGGGGCCUUACUUCCCGCAUCUCCCGGGAAUCAAGGGCGGCUCUGCCUGUCUUGUGAGCUGUCGUGAGCUGUUGCCAACCUCCACGCGGACUUCCUUUCCCAGGGGCUUGAGGCAGCAAAGGGAAUGCUCGGUCAAGGUGGGACUCCUCCUUUGCCUCUGGGCAGACUUCAUUUACUUCAGCUCUUAGCAGUGUUGAUCCUCUUUUCCCCAAAGUAUCUGUCAACUCAGGCCUCUGACUAGGGACCGUCUGGCCUGUUGUACUGAACCUCUGGUCUAAGUGGCUGGUUGGGGCCCAGUCACACCUUCAGGAAAAGGCAGGUCUCCUGAGGGAGCCCUAAUCAGGGCCAGGGCACUUCCAGGGACAGUGAGGCAGGAGGGCCAGGGAAGGGGCUGGCCUGGGGCCCGGCUCUGCCUGUUAAGCCCCACAGCGCAGGCACCCGGAUCUCCCUGCCGCGUAGGAUUCCAGGAGAGCGGCCUCUGAGACUCGCUUCUCACCCAUUCCGAGCGCAGAACUCACUGUCUGGGAAGGAGACAGGAGGCAGCCAGUCUAGACCUGAAGCCCUGAGCUGUUCAAGAAGGGGCCUCCCUCACAAAGGAGGCAGGGGUCCUGCUCAGUCGUAGCCCUUCCUUGGCCCCAGGAUGGGGGGUUCAGGAGACAAGGAGAAGGCUGCGUGUAGUUGUGGGUAGAAAACCUUUCCCGGUUUACUGCACAGUUACACACGUGACAUUGGACUCCUGGCUAUAUACAGCUUGCUCGCUCUCCGGUCUGGUAACGGCCAAGGUAGUUUUUAAGAAAUCUAUUUAAAAUACCUAUCUGUAUCUAUUUACUGUGUUUUUUUCUGAAUACACAAGUGUACAUAGUAUAAUUACAGUGCAGAGUCCCUGGCAAUAACUUCAUGUUGGGUAUUAUGUUAAAAAAAAAAACACUGAAGAAUGCGACCACCCUGGAUUGUCCUCCCUCCCUGGGGCAGUGAUUACACGUAGGACUCCGAACUUUCAGCCUGCGGCGUGGUUGAAGCGGCAGCCUGCACGUGUGGACUCUCACCAGUGCCUCGCCCACAGACGCCUGGCCUUCACCCAAAGGGACUCUGCACCCCGACUCCCACAGGCAGCACCCGCGCUGCGGCUCCUGCGCACUGAUUGUGUCGGACUCUGCCGUAGACUGACCCUCUUGUCUGGCUGCUGCAGCUUGUCUGUAACGCCCUGACAUGUUGCAUUUUCCCCAUUUGGAUGAAUAAAAAUAAAAGCUUCUGUCUUCAACAGCAA